rnacentral:rRNA from 1 species
GACGAACGCUGGCGGCGUGCUUAACACAUGCAAGUCGAACGAUGAAGCCGGAGCUUGCUCUGGUGAAUUAGUGGCGAACGGGUGAGUAACACGUGAGUAACCUGCCCUUGACUCUGGGAUAACUGCUAGAAAUGGUAGCUAAUACCGGAUACGACCCUCGGAGGCAUCUUCAGGGGGUGGAAAGAAUUUCGGUCAAGGAUGGACUCGCGGCCUAUCAGCUAGUUGGUGAGGUAAUGGCUCACCAAGGCGACGACGGGUAGCCGGCCUGAGAGGGUGACCGGGCACACGGGGACUGAGACACGGCCCAGACUCCUACGGGAGGCAGCAGUGGGGAAUAUUGCACAAUGGGCGCAAGCCUGAUGCAGCAACGCCGCGUGAGGGAUGACGGCCUUCGGGUUGUAAACCUCUUUUAGUAGGGAAGAAGCGAAAGUGACGGUACCUGCAGAAAAAGCACCGGCUAACUACGUGCCAGCCGCCGCCGUAA